rnacentral:rRNA from 1 species
CCUACGGGCGGCAGCAGUGGGGAAUAUUGCACAAUGGGCGCAAGCCUGAUGCAGCCAUGCCGCGUGUGUGAAGAAGGCCUUCGGGUUGUAAAGCACUUUCAGCGGGGAGGAAGGCGGUGAGGUUAAUAACCUCAUCGAUUGACGUUACCCGCAGAAGAAGCACCGGCUAACUCCGUGCCAGCAGCCGCGGUAAUACGGAGGGUGCAAGCGUUAAUCGGAAUUACUGGGCGUAAAGCGCACGCAGGCGGCCUGUCAAGUCGGAUGUGAAAUCCCCGGGCUCAACCUGGGAACUGCAUUCGAAACUGGCAGGCUAGAGUCUUGUAGAGGGGGGUAGAAUUCCAGGUGUAGCGGUGAAAUGCGUAGAGAUCUGGAGGAAUACCGGUGGCGAAGGCGGCCCCCUGGACAAAGACUGACGCUCAGGUGCGAAAGCGUGGGGAGCAAACAGGAUUAGAUACCCCGGUAGUC